AUGAACGCUGGCGGCGUGCCUAAUCCCUGCAAGUCGCGCGAACAGACGAGGAGCUUGCUCCUCUGACGUUAGCGGCGGCCGGGUGAGUAACACGUGGAUAACCUACCUAUAAGACUGGGAUAACUUCGGGAAACCGGAGCUAAUACCGGAUAAUAUAUUGAACCGCAUGGUUCAAUAGUGAAAGACGGUUUUGCUGUCACUUAUAGAUGGAUCCGCGCCGCAUUAGCUAGUUGGUAAGGUAACGGCUUACCAAGGCAACGAUGCGUAGCCGACCUGAGAGGGUGAUCGGCCACACUGGAACUGAGACACGGUCCAGACUCCUACGGGAGGCAGCAGUAGGGAAUCUUCCGCAAUGGGCGAAAGCCUGACGGAGCAACGCCGCGUGAGUGAUGAAGGUCUUCGGAUCGUAAAACUCUGUUAUUAGGGAAGAACAAAUGUGUAAGUAACUAUGCACGUCUUGACGGUACCUAAUCAGAAAGCCACGGCUAACUACGUG
rnacentral:rRNA from 1 species